rnacentral:rRNA from 1 species
ACGGGUGCGGAACACGUGUGCAACUGCCUUUAUCUAGGGGGAUAGCCUUUCGAAAGGAAGAUUAAUACCCCAUAAUAUGUUGAAUGGCAUCAUUCGACAUUGAAAACUCCGGUGGAUAGAGAUGGGCACGCGCAAGAUUAGAUAGUUGGUGAGGUAACGGCUCACCAAGUCUACGAUCUUUAGGGGGCCUGAGAGGGUGAUCCCCCAACUGGUACUGAACACGGACCAGACUCCUACGGGAGGCAGCAGUGAGGAAUAUUGGACAAUGGGUGAGAGCCUGAUCCAGCAUCCGGUGAAGGACGACUGGCCUAUGGGUUGUAAACUUCUUUUGAUACGGAUAAACCUACCCUCGUGAGGGUAGCUGAAGGUACUAUACGAAUAAGCACCGGCUACUCCGUGCCCAGGCAAGCCCGCCGGGUAAAAUAACCGGGAAGGGGGUCGACAAGGCGGUUCAAUCCCCGGGAAUUCCAAUCGGGGGCUNUCAACAGGGGUCCCGGAUCAACAGCGGGAAUCCUGGCACAGCUCCACGUGGCGUUGAAANAUCUGACAACCAGGUCNCAACCCGGGCGAAACACCCGGACACAUGUGGACGACACUUCG